rnacentral:rRNA from 1 species
UGGGGAAUAUUGCACAAUGGGGGAAACCCUGAUGCAGCAACGCCGCGUGAAGGAUGAAGGUUUUCGGAUCGUAAACUUCUUUGAUGAGGGACGAAUAAUGACGGUACCUCAAGAACAAGCCACGGCUAACUACGUGCCAGCAGCCGCGGUAAUACGUAGGUGGCGAGCGUUGUCCGGAUUUACUGGGUGUAAAGGGCGUGUAGGCGGGAAUGUAAGUCAGAUGUGAAACUCCGGGGCUCAACCUCGGAACUGCAUCUGAAACUAUGUUUCUUGAGUGCUGGAGAGGAAAGCGGAAUUCCUAGUGUAGCGGUGAAAUGCGUAGAUAUUAGGAGGAACACCAGUGGCGAAGGCGGCUUUCUGGACAGUAACUGACGCUGAGGCGCGAAAGCGUGGGGAGCAAACA